rnacentral:rRNA from 1 species
GACGUAGGGCGCGAGCGUUGUCCGGAUUUAUUGGGCGUAAAGGGCUCUUAGGGGGUUUGUUCCGUCGACCGUGAAAACCCGGGGCUCAACUUCGGGCUUGCGGUCGAUACGGGCGGGCUAGAGUUCGGUAGGGGAGACUGGAAUUCCUGGUGUAGCGGUGAAAUGCGCAGAUAUCAGGAGGAACACCGGUGGCGAAGGCGGGUCUCUGGGCCGAUACUGACGCUGAGGAGCGAAAGCGUGGGGAGCGAACAGG